CUUGAUAUUUUACCACAAAACAGUUCAAUCACAACUUGGGGACGUUCGAAUCGUCUACGCCGUAAAUAAACCAAAUCUGUCCACUUCCUCAAACACUUCCCCUUUGAUUUUUUUUCAAGGAUUUAUAUACCUUAAAUACAUAAUCAAAUAUCCAAAUAAGUUCAAUGAUUUAACAAGUCAAACUAAACAUGAUAUUGGUAAAAAUUACCCAAAACGUUUGAAACAGAAAUUCUGGACAGUAUUACUAUUCCGAGUUGUGACUAAGUUUUGAAGAUUUAUAAGGACAAACUAGACUUUAUAGUCUUCACAAAAGUUGUAGAUCUAUGUCUUACUGUUUCGGAACAUCUUGAAUCACUACCAUAUCAAUUUUGAACAAAAGGUUAUGUUAAAAUUACUAACAGCAGUACAUGGAAUAUUUCUUAAACUGGAAAUCUGGACAGCACCUGCCCUGUACUUUCUGACUCUUUUUUCAGGUAUAUAACGACAAAAAUAGAUUUUGAUUCCUUCAUAAGAGUUGUAGAUUUAUGAAAUACCUUUCCAGAAAGUCCUAGAUCACUUAAAUCGGAGCUAUGUACAAAAAGAUAUAUAGAAAAUACUAGUAGUU
rnacentral:lncRNA from 1 species